rnacentral:rRNA from 1 species
GAUGAACGCUGGCGGCGUGCCUAAUACAUGCAAGUCGAGCGAACAGACGAGGAGCUUGCUCCUCUGACGUUAGCGGCGGACGGGUGAGUAACACGUGGAUAACCUACCUAUAAGACUGGGAUAACUUCGGGAAACCGGAGCUAAUACCGGAUAAUAUAUUUAACCGCAUGGUUCAAUAGUGAAAGACGGUUUUGCUGUCACUUAUAGAUGGAUCCGCGCCGCAUUAGCUAGUUGGUAAGGUAACGGCUUACCAAGGCAACGAUGCGUAGCCGACCUGAGAGGGUGAUCGGCCACACUGGAACUGAGACACGGUACAGACUCCUACGGGAGGCAGCAGUAGGGAAUCUUCCGCAAUGGGCGAAAGCCUGAAGGAGCAACGCCGCGUGAGUGAUGAAGGUCUUCGGAUCGUAAAACUCUGUUAUUAGGGAAGAACAAAUGUGUAAGUAACUAUGCACGUCUUGACGGUACCUAAUCAGAAAGCCACGGCUAACUACGUG